rnacentral:rRNA from 1 species
ACUCAAAUGAAUUGACGGGGACUUGCACAAGCGGUGGAUCAUGCGGCUCAAUUCGAUGACAAACGAAGAACCUCACCAGGGUUUGAAACGGAGAUGACCGGCUAGGAAACUAGUCUUUCGUAAGACAGCUCCGCAGGUGAUGCAUGGUCGUCGUCAGUUCGUGGCUUGAGUUGUUCCCUUCAGUGGGGUAACGAACGCAACCCGCGUUGCCUGUUUUACAUGUCAGGCGAGACUGCUCCCUCACGGGAGAGGAAGGUGCGGAUGACGCCAGAUCAGCAUGUCCCUCUGAUAUCCUGGGCUGCACGCAUGAUACAAUGGGCGCGACAACGAGACGCAAUGCCGUAAGGCGGAGCAAAUCUUGAAACGCGUCCCCAGUUCGGAUUGAGGUCUGCAACCCGACCUCAUGAAGCCGGAAUCGCUAGUAAUCGCGGGUCAGCUAUACCGCGGUGAAUACGUUCUCAAGUCUUGUACACACCGCCCGU